rnacentral:rRNA from 1 species
GACGAACGCUGGCGGCGUGCUUAACACAUGCAAGUCGAACGGUGAUGCGCCAGCUUGCUGGAGUGGAUCAGUGGCGAACGGGUGAGUAACACGUGAGCAACCUGCCCCAGACUCUGGAAUAAGCGCUGGAAACGGCGUCUAAUACUGGAUAUGAAACUGGCCCGCAUGGGCAUGGUUUGGAAAGUUUUUCGGUUUGGGAUGGGCUCGCGGCCUAUCAGCUUGUUGGUGAGGUAAUGGCUCACCAAGGCGACGACGGGUAGCCGGCCUGAGAGGGCGACCGGCCACACUGGGACUGAGACACGGCCCAGACUCCUACGGGAGGCAGCAGUGGGGAAUAUUGCACAAUGGGCGAAAGCCUGAUGCAGCGACGCCGCGUGAGGGAUGACGGCCUUCGGGUUGUAAACCUCUUUCAGCAGGGAAGAAGCGAAAGUGACGGUACCUGCAGAAGAAGCACCGGCUAACUACGUG